ACGAUAUCCCGAUCACCGCCUGUGAACAAGCGCGAGAUCUCGGUACACGGGAAAACUUUUUGUCUCAUAUGUACGCAGUGUAACUUUUCAUAUUAUUUUCAUACCAAGGCGAGAUCUCGCUUGUAAACUUGUCGAAAAGUUUCCUCGCUAACCGGGAUAACUUAACAGGCCCUGAAACAAUGCUUGACUGUCUGGGCUAAUUUGUUUCCGUAUAAAAUUUGUUCCGUAUAAAAAUGAAAGAGCUGUUAAUCAAUUUUAAUGAAUGAAAUUUACUCGGG